UACGUAGGUGGCAAGCGUUGUCCGGAUUUACUGGGUAUAAAGGGGGCGCAGGCGGGAAGCUAAGUUGGAUGCGAAAUACCGGGGCUCAACUCCGGAGCUGCAUCCAAAACUGGUUUUCUUGAGUGGAGUAGAGGCAAGCGGAAUUCCGAGUGUAGCGGUGAAAUGCGUAGAUAUUCGGAGGAACACCAGUGGCGAAGGCGGCUUGCUGGGCUCUAACUGACGCUGAGGCCCGAAAGCGUGGGGAGCAAACAGGAUUAGAUACCCUGGUAGUCCCU
rnacentral:rRNA from 1 species